UCAGAGUUAUCAUGGCUCAGGACGAACGCUGGCGGCGCGCCUAACACAUGCAAGUCGAACGAGCGAGAGAGAGCUUGCUUUCUCGAGCGAGUGGCGAACGGGUGAGUAACGCGUGAGGAACCUGCCUCAAAGAGGGGGACAACAGUUGGAAACGACUGCUAAUACCGCAUAAGCCCACGACCCGGCAUCGGGAAGAGGGAAAAGGAGCAAUCCGCUUUGAGAUGGCCUCGCGUCCGAUUAGCUAGUUGGUG
rnacentral:rRNA from 1 species